UUCCUUAUAGUUUAUUUUAGAAAAAAAAUAUUACACUGAAAAUGUAAAGAAAAAAAUUUUUAAGGAAA
rnacentral:tRNA from 1 species